rnacentral:lncRNA from 1 species
GAUAGUAUAUACAAGCGGUUACCUUCCUCAAAAAGAUUCCCAGCCCCGCUCAAAACCUCCCCUGCCCAGAAGCCAAACAGUGACUUCCCAACUUGGCUUCCCUAGUGAAUCAAACGCCAUUUCUCAUGGUUAGAGGAGGAGGCUUCUUACCACUAGCUACCCCAAGUCAAACAGUCUUCUAGAAUUACCCAGGUGACUGCUUGUCUCCUACAGAAAAGGAGCAUAAGAUAUUUAAGGCUGUGAUUAGUACUUGAAUAAAUUACCGCAAGAUGGAAUGGAGUUUUACAGACAAAUCUUUAACUUGGAAAUGCACAGAAGACAGAACAGAAAUAGUGGUUGAUUAUUAGCAGGCUUAUUGGUAAACUUCAUAUAUCCGGAUCCUACAAUUUAGCAAUACUUUUAUCCAGAAGAAGUGCCAAUUUUAUUAGGACAGUACACAGCGAUAACGCAUGACAUGAAGCACAUAAACUUAAAGACUAAGAGCCAAGCAAUAAGGAAUACAAACUUGCAAUAUAGGAAGAUACAUAAGAAACGAAAUAGUACAGUUUCCUGAGAAGAUAUGCAUUUGUUCAGUUCUUAAAAGAAAAUUCAAGUACUCAGAGCUAAAAGACAUAUAGAUAGAGAGAUAAGGAAAGAGAUCAACUUUCUUCUGACCUUUUCUGUUUUCCAG